UGAAUUUUAUAACGCUGAUCGAUAUCUUGGUAAAAUAUUCAUUUUUAAACUAGCGGGCAGUGAAAUCUUUGCUUUGUGUGCUAAAGUCAACAGUCGCUCGGUUUGAGCUCAAAUAAAUGCAGGGAUGCCUCAGCUAGGAGCAGUCCGCCGCCUCCCUCCGAGCGCAGGACGCUCCGACGCCCGCCUGCCCGCAGGCCACCACAGGAAUCCCAACGGUGCAGAACUGUGCCACCGCGCCUAGAAGACAGCCUGAGGCUCCUGGGCAGAUCCCAUUUGCUCAUUCACAGCUACUGGAACAAAAAGAUGAGCCAGAGGAAGGACACUGGCAGGACUGUUUGCCUAAGAGCACCAUGGGACUUAGGAAGAACAGAAGCUUCUCCCCACGCUGAACUUUGACCCUCACAAGAAUGUCCCCAAAAGGCCAUCAUGACACUACAGUCAGAUAACCCUGCAUACUCUCCCAGGUGUUUACUACAUCUAACCAGAGGAAUGAGACAAAAUGAGGGUGGCUCAGAGCCAAGUGGUGGUGGGCCUGCCCCAGGAUCGAUACUUCUGGCAAAGGAGUCAACACUGAAGAUAUACCACGUUGUCUGGCUCUUUCCUUGACACAACAAUUUAUUUAAUAAAUGCAUCUCCUGCAGAAGAAGGCAUCAGGCACUGUGUCUUUUAUCUGCAGGAUAUGCAAAGCGCAUUUAUUCAGCUUUUAUCUCUGGAAUUGUAUGCUGAUCCCAUACAUAUAGAUUGAUUUUGUUCAGGUAGAUAAUGAAAAGUCAAGUGGAAAAUUACACAAUGGCACUCACGAUCCUGGUCUUAUAUCGGUAUAUAAAUUGGUUUAUUAUUUCAUUCUAUUAAAGGGGCUGCCCCCCU